ensembl:lncRNA
GCUGCCUCUGCUUGUACCUGAUAAAAAAACAAAAAAACAUCAGAGGCUAAUUUUUUUCUAGAACCCUAGAAUCACUUGCUAAACGACUCCAGAAUGCCACCUGAGUUUGUUGUUAAUUGGAGCUUCUUCCGGUAUGACCGGAGUUUCCCAGUUUAAGAGCUUCUCUUUCUCAGAGAGGGAGAGAAUCAAGCGCUUCUUUGGGGUGGACGAGUUGGAGGGCAUCUUCGUCAGGUGCUCUUCGCUUGUCCCACUUCCCUCCGAGGGAUUCUGGGUAUCUGCGGAUGUCACUGAACUACUGUCUGAGUUCUGAGAUAACAUAUAUCUUGUCAGUGCACAGAUAGGUAAUUUGACCGGAACCGUGCACGUUUUUCAAAAGAUAAAAGAAGGUACUUACAGAUGGUUUAUCUGCUGAAGGGACCUCCUCAAAGUCUGAGUUCGCUUACAGGGUCUCCGGCCCCUGUUUGUCUAGAGGGAGGGUUCUUUGGAAGUGCUUGAUGAAGAUCAGAGGGAAUGCUGCUCGAGGGAAAAAACAAAACAAAACAUGCUUGUUAUUUUGAGACGGUGGCAGCCGCUGUCGCCCCGUACCAAAGUUUGAACUACCUCAUUGCACAUUGCUUUCAACAAACAAAUCAGAAAUGCCGCACACAUUCCAUGUGAGAUAUUUCGGUGUCAGUUAGCCAGGUGUCAAAUAAUAACAAUGAAUGACUCCAGUUAGCUGCUUCAGCUUUAAGGUCUGUUGUAUUGCCCGUGCUUCGGUGCACUGUCGCGUGUCAUCAGGACCACUGUGCUUGUCUUACGACAACAAGUCAUAGGUCUUUUGAGUGAAGCAUUGACUUUACAGCGGUGACGUUGUUGUACUGUGACAAAACAAGUGAUCGGAAAGAGCUGCAACAUUCUGGGCUGAGAAAAAUGAGGAUAUCAAGCCAAUGAUGUUCAAGUCUGAUGAAAAAUAAGCUGCUGCAAGGACAACACUGACCUGUAGUGUUGUACAUGCAGCAUUACAAUUGUGUUCACAUACUACAGCAUGAUGAACAAAAUUAAAUAAGAUUUAUUGCCAAACACCAAAUGACAGAAUAGCGACAGACCGAGCCUCAGUUCUCAUUAAACCUCCACAAACAACCAGUAGGGUAGAAUUAAAGAAAAAGGACAGACGGAUAACAUUUGCAUGCACUCACUUGCUCUGAUUUUCCGUCUCCAGCGAUGAUUCUGUUUAGAGUUACAGUGAUCUACAGAUGUAAAAAGAAAGAAAGAAAGAAACAGCAGUGUUCUACAUGUUAAAAGCAUAUAACAAUGUCAGCUUUAUAUUAAUACAAUAUGUAUCACUCAGGAUCAUCUUCUCCAUUAGCACCAUAAGAACACGUCUGAUGAGUGGCAACCAAGAAAAAUACAUCAAUUUGAGACAGAAACUAAACAGCCAUAAUAAAGAGAUAAUUUAUUUCUAUCAUAAAUGUUUAAUCUCACAAUCUUAAAGUUCAGCCACAUUAAGAAUAAGCUCCACACUGCGGCGUGUAUCUGGGGACCCGGUCAUUAACACCUCAUACAGUAACAGUGCGGACCUGUGGUACAGUCCUGGCUGUUGCCCUUGGCCCCUGCGAGGUCCUGUGUUGUGGGCGUCACUAUGGGGGCCUCCAGCGCUUCCACAGCCAUCUCUGUGUCUCCGGGAGCUUCUGGCUGACCUUCGCCGAGCCGCUCCGUAUGCAAGCUGGAGGUUGCGCCUGCCGGUAAAAGAACCACAGCGUUAAUUGCAGUGUGGUUGAAUAAACGCUAAAAAUUAAAAUUAAAAAUUAAAAAAAAACACACACAAAAGUCAUGGUGAACGUUUAUUCUAACCGUCUGUUUAGCUGAUACCGAAGUGCUUGACAAAUAGAUGAGCUGUUUUGGGAUCUUUUGGAAUCAUGUGAUUUGGGAUUUGGGUAUUGAUUUGAGUACCGGGUAUAAUGGAAGCUGUGCACCUCACUGUGUAGAAGUGACGGGAUCAUUCAACCGCUUGAGAGGCUUCAUUUUCCACUUGAAAACUUAAAUCCCAAUCAAACUAGGCAAAACUGGCUAUUGUCUAUUAGGAAAAACAACUAUAAAAUUCCCCCAACUGCUGUAUCUCUUACCUAACCACACAGCUUAUCUAUCUUUUUUUGAUAACCAACAAGAUCUUCCUUAAACAAACAAGUAAAUGUAUAAUAUAUUAUAUAAAAAACAUAAUAUGUCUUUCUAUGCAAUAAAAAUAAUACAUACACAUCUGCAGUCUUCUAAAGUCUACCUAAAAGUACAAGUACACAUGCUGUACAAAAAGCACCCCCUCACACACACUGUAAAAACAUCCACAUUCCAGCAGCAUGCGCGCUGACAAACUACAUGAUGUGUUCAUAACGGUACUCACGGAGUCAACAGUGAACGCAAUCUUUUCCACAGAGUAUUCCACUUGAUCACAGCAAAGAAAUGGAAAGGCCACUCUACAGCAGUGGUGUUCAAAGAGUGCCUGUCCACUAUUGGGUUUAGGCUAAUUGUUGGAAUGGCACUUUCACCAGGUGAUGCACGGACACCAAAACCCCAAGAGUGAAGGAUAGGGCAGACCCCACGAGGAGAGCUGAUAGGCUGAUUCACUUCCAUCUGUUCAGAUGCUACAUUGAAGAAGUGGCCGGCAGCCAGCCGUGGGCAGAUAGGCACAGCUAUAAAUUCCAAGCUUGCAGAGAUGCGAAGAUCCAUGAAAUGAUUUUUUUUCCUUUCCAUUUUUUUGUUGUUUUUGUACAUUUUGAUAGUCCUUAAAUAAAUAAUGUAAAUUUCUAC